AUGCAAAGGGGCUGGUUGCUUCUGCUCCUGAGGAAAUUGAUUUGGAUGCCACACUUGCUGAGGUGGCUGGGGCAUGGCGGUCGGUUCAAUUUGCUGCCGAGUUUCAGUAGCUGGUUGCUUUUGCUGCUGUGGCAUUUGAGCUGGAUGCCACACUUGCGGGGGCAGGGUGGCCUGUUCCUUCUGCGGUUGAGGCAUUGGGGCUGGUUGUUUCUGCUGCUGGGACAUUUGAGCUGGAUACCAUGCUUGCUGGAGUAUAGCUGUUGGUUGUUUCUGCAGGAUAGGCAUUGGGGCCAGUUGCAUUUGACCUGGAUAUCUCACUUGCUGGGGUAUGGUGGCCGGUUCCUGAUGCUGCUGGGGAAGGUGCACUGGAUGCAACUCUUGCUGCGUUAUGGUGGCCGGUUGCUUCUGCUCCUGGGGCAUUUGAGCUGGAUACCACACUUGCUGAGGCAUGGUGGUCAGUACCUUCUGCCGCCGAGUUGCAGCGGCUCGUUGCUUCUGGACCAUUUUAGCUGGAUACCACACAUCAUGAGGCUGCUGGGGAAUGGGGGCCAGUUGCCACACUUGCUGAAGCAUGGCAGCCGGUUGCUUAUGCAGCUGGGGCAUUUGAGCGGAAUGCCACAGUUGUGGUGGAAUGGCGGUCAGAUCCUUCUGCAGUUGACGCAUAGGGACUGGUUGCUCCUGGGGAAAUUGAGCUGGAUGCCACAUUUGCUGAGGCUGGGGCAUGGAGGUCAGAUCAAUCUGCUGCUGAGGUUCAGCGGCGGGUUGAUUCUGCUGCUGGGGCUUUUGAGCUGGAUACCACACUUGCUGGGGCAUGGCAGUCGGUUGCUUCUGCGGCUUUAGAGCUGGAUGCAACACUUGCUGAGGUUGCUGGCUUAUGGCGGCCGGUUCCUUCUGCUGCUGAGGUUCAGUAGCUGGUUGCUUUUGCUGCUGGGGCAAUUGAGCUGGAUGCCACACUUGCUGGUGAAUGGUGGCCGGUUGCUUCUGCUGUAUUUGAGCUGGAUACCAUGUUUGCUGGGGCAUAGCUGUUGGUUGUUUCUGCGGUAUAUCCAUUGGAGCCUGUUGCUUCUGGGGCAUGGUGGUCAGUUCCGUCUGCUGCUGAGGCCCAGUAGCUGGUUGCUUUUCCUGCUGGGGCAUUUGAGUUGGAUACCACAUUUUCUGAGGUGCCUGGGGCAUGGGGGCCAGUUGCUUUUGCAGGAUGGAGGCCAGAUGUUUCUGUUGCUCUUCGGUCAGCUGCGCUUGCAAUUGAGCUGUUGGAGAGAUGUAUUUUCCAUAUCCUUUAGACCUAAGUGAGCCUGCAUAGAGACAUACUGCAUCAGAACCUGGUGCAUGAUAGCCAUCACCUUGGUUAGAAACAAAGUAAAAUGCCAGCCUUGGAAGUAAUUGGAACCGCAACUGUUACUUGAAAUUAAUGUGUAGAAACUCACUUGAUGUAGAACAGGUUAUCCCACCAAUUAGCAGGCAACAAAACCAAGAAACUCUAAAAAAAUAUAUAUAAAAUAAAAACAUGUGUUAUAAACAUAGCUACCUGUGACACCUGAAGGACAAGGGAAACAAACUAAAUCAAUACUUAAAAAGAUACCUGACAGCGAUUCCAAUCAUCACGGCCAUUUUGCGCCUCGAAACUUCACCAGUAAUCAGAACUAAUGGCCGAUAUAAGCCCUAGUUUAAUAUCCCUUUUGCUGUAUCUGGCAGGAUUUUUGGUUGCUCCUUUUAAACAAAUCCCAGACCCUUCUAAUGUCAUUGGCUAAUUAAGGACAGCUGUAAGUCCCUGAACUACAUUUGAUUCCUAAUUCCAAAUUGACCGCUAAAUCCUACACCCUGGACUAAACACGUCUGUGAAUCAGAAAUGAUUGAAAAGGUAUAAGCAAUAUGGCCACAAUUGCAUCCAGCCUAUCAGAAGUCAAGGUGAAGCAAUUACCAUAUUGCUAUAAACUUUC
ensembl:lncRNA